UAUAUCCUGGAAAUCACUUCAUAGAGAUCUUCCUCGGACCAUGUUACAGCUACACUGUCCUCCACUCUAUGGCUGUCACCAUAGCUUAUUUAGCAUUGUCAUAUAUGACAGUGUGUGGGUUGGAAACCUUACACUGCUAUAUAUUCUGCUUUCAUAUUCUGGAGGUAUAUCUUCAGGGUAGAGUCCUAGGAGAGGGACUAUUGGAUCCACGGUAAAUUCAGGCGUUUAGAUUUUGUUAGAUAGUGCCACAUUUCUCCAGUCUGCACACGAUGUGCUGUCAGACUUUCUCGAUGAAUCUGAUAACAUUUUAUAUGCAGACUGGGGAAACAGGGCAGGAUUGGAAUAUACUCCCAGAAUCAGAAAAGGAUUCAGAGUCAAGGGAUCAUACAGGGAAGGCUCCAGGAAUAGAAACCACUCUUCCAGCACAGGAGGGAAGUCACAGACAAAUGGGACUAUCCUAUAAAACACAGCCUGAGUGUCCUUUGAAACCUAGAGUGCACAGACAGCAUGUUGUCCCUUUGUCUCUCUCAUUCCGAUCUUCCAACAGCAAGCCUGCCAUUCCCCACUGUUCUCACCAUGGCUCUGUGGGACCACGUUGGUGUCUCACUGAGGGUCCCAUUACCUUGCAUGUAUUUGCUUUCCUUACUUUCCCAGUGUUGCUGAUGUGGUAGGCAGAAUAAUCCCUGCUCAUCCCCACCCCCAGAGAUAGCCACAUCUGAGUUCCCUGGGCCUGGCCAGCACCACCUUAGUCCACGUGAUCACGGCAGGGCUGUGCUGGGGCUGCCCCAUGCAACACGGGAGGUUUGUGUUCAGGGAAGACACACAUUAGCUUGAAGCUGCAGCAAUUGGCAAAUGCUACCAGUCAGGACUUCUCCUUGCCUGCAGGGUCAGAUAUUUUUGAAUUAAGACCUAUCAGCAAGCAAGACGACUUUUUGUGCCUCCUGGGGGUACACACCAAGAAGCGCACAUCCCUUUUGUGGUCUGCUCCCUAAAAUACACAAUGGCCAUCUAGUGAGAAAGCAGGGGGAAAAAACUAAAUUGAAAGCCAUCCUGCAAAAUUCCUGGUUUGCACGGAGAGAAAAAGCAGGGUCACGAAACACAAAAACCAAUGUGACAUUUCAGAUUCAAGGAGGCUAACGAGACCCAACCACUAAAGGCACUAUGUGAUCCAGACUGGAUUCUAGACCAGGGGCAAUAGAUACAUGCGAUACAUACAUUGAUAAAUAUCAUACAUAUAUGUAGCUGCAUGUAUACAUAUAUAUAUAUAUAUUGCUGAGGACAUUGUUGGGAAAACUGAUGAACUGGGAAUAAAAUCUUCAAUUUGAGUGGCAGCAUGGCAUCAGUUAAUUUCCUAAUUUUGAUCAUUUGACUAUGGGUCUAUAAGAGAAUGCCCCAUAUAGAGAUAGUGGCAUACCAGGAAAGAAGGAGGGAGGGAGAGAGGAGGCAAGGAAAAACAACUAACAAGGGGGAAUCUGGGUGCCGGAUAUGUUUUUCUUCUCACUACCGUCAAUGCUUUGCUUUGGGUUGAGACAAAGUUCUCUACCAGUGUUUUGGGUAACUUUCUGCAAGUCUGAAAUUAAUUAGAAAUUAAGUCUGACGGAAAGAAAAACACGAACACAGCCUUCCCCGACCUCUUCCCGAGACCUAUGUCGUCGCAAACCAGAGCGAGGCCGUGGGCAGGAACUUCUCAGGGGAGCUGCAGAACCAACACCGGGGCGGGGUCCCACACGCAUGCGCAGGAGCCACGAGGCCCCAAUACUACCGCGCCUCCCCGCGCCAGGCUGCCCCCCUCGGAUUGGCUGUGGGCGCGGUGACGCAAUAGCCUUGUCCAUAGGAGGUUCAUUCAUACAUACAGAAGUAUACCGAGAUGGCUGCACACCCACAUGAAGUUCCUCGUACUGUUUUGGGUAAUUUUCUCUCAGUCUGAAAUUAAAAAUACAACAAGUGACCACCACCUGUCCUCGACUGCCAUCCCGAGGUCCACGUGGCUGCAGAGCGGAGGGAGGCUGCACGCAGGAACUUCCCAGGCGGCGAGGUCGAGGUCGGCGCCAACGCCAUGGUAGCGUCGGGGACACUCACCUCAGGAACCCUGAGCUGCUCAGCGCGGGAAGCGGGCGCGAGCUCUCUGCGCCUGCCACAGCGCCUGCCCCUUGGUUACUUUCUAAAUGCUGCCGUGCAGGCCUGGAGUCUGUGGCCCACUACUGCUACUGAUGGAAAUUGCACAGCAACGUGUCCUGCCCUUGGACCAUCUGUUCUGGCCUACAAGGAUGAGAACGCCAGGAGAGGGCAGCAUGUGUUGGGGUACUGCAAUGGUGUUGUGCUGUUGACACCUACCGGGGUACUCAGAUAAAGACACUGCAUUUGAAUUUUGAAUCAAAAAUAGUGGGUUGCCUGGAUAAUUCACUGCUGCUAAACGCGCUUUGUUUAUGGUUUCUCUUAGAAUCUUCAUCCUGGAUAGACAAGGAAGAUUAUAUCCAUUGUCCAGCCUGGCCCCAGACACACUGUGUAUCUGAAUGACUUUAAAAUGCCCUGCACAAUUCUGCAACAAUUGAUCGUUCUCCCAUUACCUGUAGGUCUGGAAGUAUUUUAGCCUGUGGUUCGAUUGCCAUCAUUUUUUAAAAUGACACUUUGUAAAUUAAAUUCUGUGUUCUUAAUGUCCUAAGGACCUCUCAGCAGUGAAAGAGUAAGAACAUUCUGGUAUGUGUCAAUAUUUACUCUGUAUUCGUAGACUCUGAUUAUCAUUUCCUUUCCUGCAUAUUUUUUUCUUAUAUCUCCCUACCAAAGGGAAGAAAAACCCUGUCAUGAAAAACAUGAAGGAAAGACUGUUGUUUAUCUCAAUGGGACAGACAGGCACACCUACCAAGCAAAGACAAAAGAGCACAAAAUCAGCAGCAUAUUGGGAGAGUGUGAAUUGAUCCUUUUUAAUGAGUCACAGCAAUGAUAUGGAUCUAGUUUUACUUGAGAUGAUUGUCCUCAGGUAUCCAGUGGUCAGCAGAUGAGGAUGAAAGCCAAUUAUCCUAACUGAUCAGAAAAUGCAGAAACUCCCUCUUUGUCUCUGUAGGUAAGUACAUAUAAGCCUGGACUGGACACAGAAAUGGUAAUACCACAAUAGGAUUCAAAUGUGUCCUCUCAUUGACUUUUUCAGAUAAUUGUAGCUAAUUUCCACUAAGCAGGAGAUGAUCUUGAGAGUAGUUCCUAGUACAUGGGAAGUCCCUGACAAACAUUAGCUGUUAUUAUUGGAAGCAUCAAGCUUUGGUCCGUUUUAUCCAUUUCACUGGAGGUGUCUCUGAAAUCAUCAGCUCCCAGCCAACCCAGUGGAACUGACUGCACGGCCUUCAGCAUGUCCGUGACGACAGGAUGCGCAGUGGCGGCAGCAGGUGUUACCCGGAAAUCUGUUAAGGACUCUCACACAGAUGUCUCUGUCCUGUAAGGAACCCCAACCAUUAAGCACGUCUGUUUGCUGUUUACAGAUUUCUCUCUCUCUCUCUUCCAUUACAAAUGAACAUUUCUGCUUCUAAUCUCCUGUGGCAUCAGAAGCCAGAUACCCAGGCUUGACAAGCGCGAGGCACCCAGGGUAAAGCUCUGGGUGCAGCCCUCUGCUACCUGGACACCUGGGAACAGGAACUUGUUGUGCUCAUUCUGACUGCCCAGUGACCCUCCUGGCUGGCCUCGUGACAUGUUCCAGAUGUUGAGGUGGUUUGCUAGGUAAGCUCUGGAUGAAAGAACUGGCACUGGAAUUAGAUCUGGAAUCUCAGCCUCCUAAUUCUCUCCGCACCCAUACUUGGUAUGUUGACAUUUUCAAGGAGUACUACAUGCUUGUGGACUUAAAGGGGCAGCACACACAAAGUCUAAGCACUAAUGUUACAUUUUAAAACUUGAGCUGCUUCUUUCUUGAGACGCUUAAGCUGGCCUGAGCAUUACUGUUAUAUACUGCAGCCAUGCUUCCUUCCAUGUGUUUUCUCAGUAAACUAUUAAAAAUAUUUAGGUCAGCCUUACAUAAGUUUGUGAAUAUAAUUCAAAAAAAAAAUCUUCCAAACAGGUCUAAGUCAUGUUUCCCUUAAGUGUCAACUUCCUAAGUGUCGUGGCACAUCAACAAUGAUCAAGAGUGUACCUCCGUGGCGGCACAGUGGGUGAAGAUGUCACUGGGAUACUCACAGAGUGCAGGCUGUAGUCCGAGGUAUUCAGCUCUGAUACAGUUCCCUGCUAAUGCAUCCUAAGAGCCGACAGACGAUGGCUGAAGUGCUUGGUCCUUUACCACCUACCUGGGAGAUCCAGAGGGAGUUCUGAGCUUCUGACUUUGGCCUGAUGCAGACCUGGUUGUUCUACCUAUUUGGGGAGUGAACCAGUCGAUGAAAGAUCUCCUUCCCCUAUCUCUGUCUCUCUGCCUCUCUCUCUCUCUCUCUCUCUCUCUCUCUCUUUCCCUGUCUGUGUCUGUCUAUCUGUCUAGAAACUCCCUCUUUGUCUCUGUAGGUAAGUACAUAUAAGC